rnacentral:rRNA from 1 species
GUAAGGAAUAUUGGUCAAUGGACGAAAGUCUGAACCAGCCAUGCCGCGUGGAGGAUGAAGGUCCUCUGGAUUGUAAACUUCUUUUAUCUGGGACGAAAAAAGGUCUUUCUAGAUCGUCUGACGGUACCAGAUGAAUAAGCACCGGCUAACUCCGUGCCAGCAGCCGCGGUAAUACGGAGGGUGCAAGCGUUAUCCGGAUUCACUGGGUUUAAAGGGUGCGUAGGUGGGUUGGUAAGUCAGUGGUGAAAUCUUCGAGCUUAACUCGGAAACUGCCAUUGAUACUAUCAGUCUUGAAUAUUGUGGAGGUUAGCGGAAUAUGUCAUGUAGCGGUGAAAUGCUUAGAUAUGACAUAGAACACCAAUUGCGAAGGCAGCUGGCUACACAUAUAUUGACACUGAGGCACGAAAGCGUGGGGAUCAAACAGGAUUAGAAACCCUGGUAGUCC